CCUACUGGUGGCAGCAGUGGGGAAUAUUGGACAAUGGGCGAAAGCCUGAUCCAGCCAUGCCGCGUGUGUGAAGAAGGCCUUCGGGUUGUAAAGCACUUUCAGUGGGGAAGAAAGCCUUGGGGCUAAUACCCUCGAGGAAGGACAUCACCCACAGAAGAAGCACCGGCUAACUCCGUGCCAGCAGCCGCGGUAAUACGGAGGGUGCGAGCGUUAAUCGGAAUUACUGGGCGUAAAGCGCGCGUAGGCGGUCUGAUAAGCCGGUUGUGAAAGCCCCGGGCUCAACCUGGGAACGGCAUCCGGAACUGUCAGGCUAGAGUGCAGGAGAGGAAGGUAGAAUUCCCGGUGUAGCGGUGAAAUGCGUAGAGAUCGGGAGGAAUACCAGUGGCGAAGGCGGUCUUCUGGACUGACACUGACGCUGAGGUGCGAAAGCGUGGGUAGCAAACAGGAUUAGAUACCCUAGUAGUC
rnacentral:rRNA from 1 species